rnacentral:rRNA from 1 species
UGGGGAAUAUUGCACAAUGGGCGCAAGCCUGAUGCAGCCAUGCCGCGUGUAUGAAGAAGGCCUUCGGGUUGUAAAGUACUUUCAGCGAGGAGGAAGGCAUUAAGGUUAAUAACCUUAGUGAUUGACGUUACUCGCAGAAGAAGCACCGGCUAACUCCGUGCCAGCAGCCGCGGUAAUACGGAAGGGUGCAGCGUUUAAUCGGAAUUACUGGGCGUAAAGCGCACGCAGGCGGUCUGUCAAGUCGGAUGUGAAAUCCCCGGGCUCAACCUGGGAACUGCAUCCGAAACUGGCAGGCUAGAGUCUUGUAGAGGGGGUAGG